GGAGAGGUGACCGAGAGGCUGAAGGUGCUCGCCUGCUAAGUGAGUGUACGCCGAAAGGUGUACCGUGGGUUCGAAUCCCACCCUCUCCGCCA
rnacentral:tRNA from 1 species